rnacentral:tRNA from 2 species
GGGUCCGUGGCCUAGUCAGGAUAAGGCAUUGGACUUCUAAUCCAAUGAUCCGGGGUUCGAAUCCCCGCGGAUCCGCCA